CAGAGACCCCACAACAACAUCCAAAGAACUGCAGGCCUCACUUGCCUCAGUCAGACGUUCAGCUACACCAUUAGCUCUUAACUCUCUUUUUGGCUUACUGACAUAGGCUUUUCCACAAGGACAAGUCAAGAAGAAGAGGACUGAUAUUUUUGUCCAGAGAGGGGAUAUAUAAAUAAUUGCAUUUGUAUGCGCUAUUGCAUUGAGGACUCAUUCUGAGGAACCAAGGUGGGUUCCCAGCAGUGCUGUCUUCAGGAAGAUUAGCGGUGAGGCCAGAAGUCCCACGGGAGCAUCACAACUGAUUAAACCUACAACUCUUAUCUAUCCAAGUGAGCAGAUCCAUAAUAGGCUGCUGCCUGCUGGUCACUAUCACUGCUCAAAUGUCUAGAUUAACCCACAAGAGCAUCUGCAGUUUGUUAGUGGGAUUAAACCCAUGAAAACCAGAGGUGGCCCACAUUCCAGCUGUGAAUUGGCAGAGGGUGAUUACUGUAUAUCUUAUAACUGAUGCUAUGAGUCCUUUACUUAAGUAAAAUCAUUAAUAUUAACAGUGUAAAAACACUCCCAAGUUUUUAUACUGUUACUUUUUACAAAAGAACAAGUAAAAGUCUUGUAUUUAAACAUUUUACUUCAGUAAAAAUACAUAAGUAUUAUCAGCAAAAAUGUACUUAAAGUAUGAAAAUUAAAAAGUACUUUUUAUGCAUUGGAUUAUCGGAUUAUUAUUACAGAUGCAUAAAUGUGUGAGCAGGAUUUUAAUGAUGUGGUUGGACAAGCUAUUUUUAACUACAUUAUGCUUACUUACUGUACCAGCAGGGCAAAGAGGACAACUGCCAUGGGGCCCCCAGACCCCCAGUGGCCCAAGGUUUUCUGUCAAUUGGUUGUAUGUAAUUUGGUUAAUUGUAAACUUAUUAUAAAAAGUACAAUAUCAAGUAAGGUGGGUCCUGCAUUAUUACCUAAUCUUGGUGGCCCUGUCUUAUAGAGGGGCCUGUGUCAAAAUCUAGUUUUGCAGACUGGUUAAUCUCUAGGUCAAGUUUUUGCCCCAGUGCCCCCUAACAGGUCAAUCCAGCCAUGCUGCUGGGUUAUUUUAACCCAUAGAAAUCAACCAGAUUUUUUUAGAUAAUCAUGUUUUGAGUAUAAAAAUUACGUAAAGGUGUCAUAUACAGUAUGUGCCCUCUGAAAAGUAGUUGAGUAGAAGAAGAAAGUAAAUACUAUCAAACGUAAAUACUCAAGUAAAAUUCAGUUACUGUUAUGUGACGAGGAGCAAUCGGUGCUUAGUAAAUGAUAUUACAAAAUGCAGAACACAUAUGGCUAUAUGUAAAUACUUCAGAGACACAUUGAGAAUUCUCCAUUCAAACCCUUAGAAGUGAUUUAACAAAGCUGAUAUGUCCAAUUUUGGUUUUGGUUGGCGGCUAAGCAUUUGCAUUGUCCUCUGUUCCUGGAUGUCUGUAUUUUGAGAUAGAUUCAGGUAAUUCACUGGGUAGAUGCUUUUAUUCAGCCAUGUCAGAUCACCUUGACAAAAUCCUACGCAGAUCAGGAUAAUAGCUCCUCUAAAUCAAGUACCAUCAUAGAGGAGUUGUUCUGUAUGAAUGGACAAUUUUCUAUCAAUAAUGAAGUCAGUGCUGUUUGCCAUUCUUAAACAUCUCAGUUUAUAGAAGACAGUCAAUGCUGGGAUUGUUUUGAGCUUGUUUUCUCCUCAAUAUAUAAGCACGUGCCUCUUUUUGUUGCCAUCUGCCUUUUACCAGCCUGUCUCUUAUCUCUUCAUCAGUUCUCCAUAUCCGCUGUUUUUCUACAAAGGUGUCAAACAGGAAACCCGCUGACAAAAUUGUAUAAUCUUCUGACCUAGUAAAUUCUAUUUGUGUUAAAAUACUGUAUGUAGCGCUGUUGUUUUAAAUAUUUCUAAAUAAAUAAAUACUAUCUUAAAAAAAAUUCUAUCCUAGCACACCUAUGGUUUUUUACUCUGAUACAUUUUUGUUUCACCUUGAUGUGAAGUGUGUUGCAACACCAACAGCACAUUUAUAACAUGAUUAUGUUGAGCUACACGGGCUCAUGACAACCCACUGUUACUUGAAGCAAUGCAAAGGAGUCAAGGGUCAUAGUUAAAAAAAUAUUUAUUGAAAUCGUAUAAAAAUAGGUUCUAACAUACAACGUAAACAAACCAGUUACCAUCAGUAGACAUUCAAUGUUUAGAUACAUUAAGAUGGAAGUACUUUCGGGACUAUUUACACAUUAUUUACAUUAUAUACACAAACAUACACACACACAUCUGCUCUUUUAAAAUUUCAAGCCAUAAAUUUGGUCAAAAAAAUUAAUCGCAUCUUUUUUUCUUUUAAAUAAUCUGUGGGCCCUUCAGUGACUGUGGAAUGAAAUACGUAUAUGUGCAGCCAAAAUUCUCUCAUAAAUAAAAUAAAUAAAUUCUGCGCUCAUUGAGUUUGAGAAAGAAGUCACAGCAAUAAUAAAUAUCAUUAUUAUUUACAAUUCUUGUCCCCACCGAAUUGUAAGACCUGUGUGAGGCACUGUUUAAACAUAAAAAAAAUUUAAGUGGAGAGCAGAGAGUGUUGCAUUUCGGUGUGGUUAAGUUUGCAUUGUGGUGUGCAUUCAGGUGGAUGUGAACGAGCGUUUGCCUAAAACGUGUGUUUGUAUACAGUACAACACGAGAAGAGGAGGAAGCGUAGGUUGUAGAGGUGGAUGUUGUAGUAAAGAGAGUGAGGUGAGUCCAGUGUUU